rnacentral:rRNA from 1 species
UACGUAGGGGGCAAGCGUUGUCCGGAAUUAUUGGGCGUAAAGAGCGUGUAGGCGGUCCGGGAAGUCAGCUGUGAAAGUCAAGGGCUCAACCCUUGAAUGCCGGUUGAUACUGUCGGGCUAGAGUCCGGAAGAGGCGAGUGGAAUUCCCGGUGUAGCGGUGAAAUGCGCAGAUAUCGGGAGGAACACCAAUGGCGAAGGCAGCUCGCUGGGACGGUACUGACGCUGAGACGCGAAAGCGUGGGGAGCAAACAGG